AGUGAACGCUGGCGGUAGGCCUAACACAUGCAAGUCGAACGGCAGCACAGGAGAGCUUGCUCUCUGGGUGGCGAGUGGCGGACGGGUGAGGAAUACAUCGGAAUCUACUCUGUCGUGGGGGAUAACGUAGGGAAACUUACGCUAAUACCGCAUACGACCUACGGGUGAAAGCAGGGGACCUUCGGGCCUUGCGCGAUUGAAUGAGCCGAUGUCGGAUUAGCUAGUUGGCGGGGUAAAGGCCCACCAAGGCGACGAUCCGUAGCUGGUCUGAGAGGAUGUACAGCAAAACUGGAACUGAGAAACGGUCCGAACUCCUACGGGAGGCAGCAGUGGGGAAUAUUGGACAAUGGGGGCAAGCCUGAUCCAGCCAUACCGCGUGGGUGAAGAAGGCCUUCGGGUUGUAAAGCCCUUUUGUUGGGAAAGAAAUCCAGCUGGCUAAUACCCGGUUGGGAUGACGGUACCCAAAGAAUAAGCACCGGCUAACUUCGUGCCAGCCGCCGCCGUAA
rnacentral:rRNA from 1 species